AUACGUAGGGGGCGAGCGUUGUCCGGAAUGACUGGGCGUAAAGGGCGUGUAGGCGGCGGUGUAAGUCUGGAGUGAAAGUCCCGCAUUCAAUGUGGGAAUUGCUUUGGAUACUGCAGUGCUAGAGUGCGGAAGAGGUAAGUGGAAUUCCCAGUGUAGCGGUGAAAUGCGUAGAGAUUGGGAGGAACACCAGUGGCGAAGGCGACUUGCAGGGCCAUAACUGACGCUGAGGCGCGAACGCGUGGGGAGCGGCCAGGAUUAGGUACCCUGGUUGCCCAGGCGGUAAACGAGGAAUUCUAGGUGUUGCUGGUAUCGACCCCUGCAGUGCCGGAGUAAACACAAUAAGCAUUCCGGCUGGGGAGUACGGCCGCAAGGUUGAAACUCAAAGGAAUUGACCGGG
rnacentral:rRNA from 1 species